ACCCUUUAAUGUUUGAUGUUCUAACGUGGACCCGUGAUCCGGGUUGCGGACAGUGUCUGGUGGGUAGUUUGACUGGGGCGGUCUCCUCCUAAAGAGUAACGGAGGAGCACGAAGGUUGGCUAAUCCUGGUCGGACAUCAGGAGGUUAGUGCAAUGGCAUAAGCCAGCUUGACUGCGAGCGUGACGGCGCGAGCAGGUGCGAAAGCAGGUCAUAGUGAUCCGGUGGUUCUGAAUGGAAGGGCCAUCGCUCAACGGAUAAAAGGUACUCCGGGGAUAACAGGCUGAUACCGCCCAAGAGUUCAUAUCGACGGCGGUGUUUGGCACCUCGAUGUCGGCUCAUCACAUCCUGGGGCUGAAGUAGGUCCCAAGGGUAUGGCUGUUCGCCAUUUAAAGUGGUACGCGAGCUGGGUUUAGAACGUCGUGAGACAGUUCGGUCCCUAUCUGCCGUGGGCGCUGGAGAACUGAGGGGGGCUGCUCCUAGUACGAGAGGACCGGAGUGGACGCAUCACUGGUGUUCGGGUUGUCAUGCCAAUGGCACUGCCCGGUAGCUAAAUGCGGAAGAGAUAAGUGCUGAAAGCAUCUAAGCACGAAACUUGCCCCGAGAUGAGUUCUCCCUGAGACU
rnacentral:rRNA from 1 species